CAUCACUCUAUUAUUAAAGCUUCGGCACCUGAAGAUGGGCGUGCGGCUGAUUAGGUAGUUGGCGGGGUAACGGCCCACCAAGCUCGAUCAGUAGCUGAUGUGAGAGCAUGAUCAGCCACACGGGCACUGAGACACGGGCCCGACUCCUACGGGAGGCAGCAGUAAGGAAUAUUGGUCAAUGGACGAAAGUCUGAACCAGCCAUGCCGCGUGGAGGAUGAAGGUCCUCUGGAUUGUAAACUUCUUUUAUUUGGGACGAAAAAAGGGCAUUCUUGCUCACUUGACGGUACCAGAUGAAUAAGCACCGGCUAACUCCGUG
rnacentral:rRNA from 1 species